CCCAUUAAUUUAUCAUAAUCCUACUUCAUUCCAUCAGAACAAGUGAAGAAGCGCAGAACAAGAAAACCAAAAACAGAGUCUUGAAGGGAAAUAAUCGGUCCAACGUUUCUUAAUCCGAUCGCUCUGAUUGACGCGAGAUUUUACGAGUGUGCUGCUGCUAUUCUCUACUCAUUAUCCUACGGUUUGAUUGUCGUUUUGUUAUCAUCAAGGAGGAGGAGGAGUAUGUAUUUAUAGGUUAGAGCAGAAAUAUCAAGAUACGAAAAUUGGGAAAAAGAAGUUUCUAGUGCGUAACGGAAGACAAAAGAAGCGGAAAAUACAGUAGCUGGAAAGUUUUGGCCAGAUCACGACUAUUCUGGAACGCGCGGGAGAAUAAGUUAUAUCCACUUAAUAUCUAAUAACGGUUUUAUCAAGAAUUCUCUAGAUUUUUAAUUACGAGAACCUUUGAAUCAUAUACAAAGAUCAUAUCUAAAUCAUAUCCUUUUUUUUUUGUUGGUCAAUA